rnacentral:lncRNA from 11 species
AGAACAAGACAAUUCCUAAUAUAAUUUCCCCUCUGUAUCCACAGAUUCUGCUUCCACAAGUUCAACCAACCAUGGCUCAAAAAGAGUUUGAAAAAUCCAGAAAAUAUACCUUGUUUUUUCCAUGUUAUAUAAGUGAUGCCAUUUUACUACCACAUCCUAUAAGAUUGGGAUUUGAGCCUCUAAGGAUUUUGGUAUCAAUGGGGGUCCUAGAACCAAAGCCCAGCAGAUACCAAAGGCUGACAGAAGCAGAAACCAUGAACUUCAAGGAACCUUUCUAGAGUCAUCUUUAGUCAUGAACUGGAAGGCGUACCUAAUCAUCAGAAGGGAAUCAGAGGUAGAUAUACAUUUCUCCAGAGUGCAUCUAUACAACUUUC